ensembl:lncRNA
GAGAACAGCGGCUGUAGCAGCAGACACUCACACAGGCCGGCAGAUGACCAGGUCCCCCUUGUUGGUCCCGUAGGCCAGGCCCAGGCCGGGGUCCGGCAGCCAGCGUGCCGAGUUGAUGCUGACGUGGCGCCGCUGGUCCGGGGCCAUGGGGUACACCACGUUGAAGACCAUCUGGACACAGGACCACACGUUAGUCAUGGGAUUCACAUCGCUGCCACAGGACCACACGUUAUUCAUGGGCUACACCACGUUGAACACAGGGCCACAGCGUUAGUCAUGGGGUAGACCACGUUGAACACAGGGCCACAGCGUUAGUCAUGGGGUAGACCACGUUGAACACAGGGCCACAGCGUUAGUCAUGGGGUACACCACGUUGAACACAGGGCCACAGCGUUAGUCAUGGGGUACACCACGUUGAACACAGGGCCACAGCGUUAGUCAUGGGGUACACCACGUUGAACACAGGGCCACAGCGUUAGUCAUGGGGUACACCACGUCGUCAAGGACCACAUAGUCCACUGGGCGGGGCGCUCCCUGCAAUGGAUGGGCAGUCCUGUGCGGAGUUGGGCUAAUCUAAUGGACUCCGGUAAACAUUAUGAAUGGAUGCUUGAAGGGCUGUCAGCUCCAUUACGUUUGUCAGGAGUCCUGUGUGUGUGUGUGUGUGUGUGUGUGUGUGUGUGUGUGUGUGUGUGUGUGUGUGUGUGUGUGUGUGUGUGUGUGUGUGUCUGUGUGCGUGUGCGUCUGUGUUUAGAGGUACACCCAGGUGCUCCAGGGUUGGGGGUACUCACCCGGACAGAGGUCUCCCCCCCAUGGGGCUGCUGCAGGCGGAAUACCUGGGCCACCAUGUGGUCGGUGGAGGGGUGCAGCAGGAUCCUGCGGGAGGCCAGCCCCACCAUGACGUAGCAGCCCAUGGGGGACAGGCUGACCGAGAUGGCCAGCGUAGCGAAUCUCUUGGAGUAGAGCAUCUCCCCCAGGUUGUGAGGAGCCAGGGAGUAGACGGCCAGGAUGCCCUCGUCGGGGAAGCCCCGCUGGCUGCUGGGGAUGAAGACCGCCAGCAGCUGGCCGUCCGCCGAGAUGUCGCAGCUUGCGUCGUUGUAGAUCUUACAGUUUGGCACCAGGACGUUGACCGUGGCUAGAGGGACGGACACAGGGUGAGCGUUAGCUAGAGGGGCUGCACCCAGCCCCCAGAGGGGCUGCAUUCACCCCCCAGAGGGGCUCAUCCCUAGGUUCUACUGGUCCGGUCUAGGUAAACCCCAUGCAGCGCCUCAUCCCUAGGUUCUACUGGUCCGGUCUAGGUAAACCCCAUGCAGUGCCUCAUCCCUAGGUUCUACUGGUCCGGUCUAGGUACCGUUGCUGAUCUCCGGGAGGUCGAACUUGGUGAAGUCCCACCACUGCAGUCGGUACGUGGUGUUGGCGAUGUUGCUGGCCACCGCAGACUGCCCGUCUCCGAUGGAGGCCCCUGGAAAAAGAAACAAGAGCCCU